rnacentral:tRNA from 1 species
GGUUUGUGGCUCAGUGGUAGAAUGCUUGCCUAAUACACAUGAGGCACUGGGUUCAAUCCCCAACACCA